rnacentral:rRNA from 1 species
GACGAAGGGGGCUAGCGUUGUUCGGAAUUACCGGGCGUAAAGCGCGCGUAGGCGGUUCUUCAAGUCAGGCGUGAAAGCCCCGGGCUUAACCCGGGAAUAGCGCUUGAUACUGUGGGACUUGAGUCCGGGAGAGGAUAGUGGAAUUCCCAGUGUAGAGGUGAAAUUCGUAGAUAUCGGGAAGAACAUCGGUGGCGAAAGCGCUCUACUGGACCGCAACUGACACUCAGGGACGAAAGCUAGGGGAGCGAAUGGG